CUAUCAUGAAUGAUGUUGCCCAACCUUAUUUUGCAGCCAGUUAUCUUAUUCAGACCUUGCUACAUUAUUUUUGUGUCCGAGUGAUUAUACUAGGAUUCAAGUUUGUCCCGAUAUUGUCUCUUGACAUCCUUAAUGGCUUUGCGGAGAACAUAGUGGGCAUUCUUGUACUGCUCAGGAUUGUUUAAUUUGUAUGCAGCGGACCUGACCUUAACCUGUGAAUGUACCUCACGGUUCAUCCAUGGUUUGUGGUUGGGGAACACUCGGAUUGACUUCGUCGGCAUGCAGUCUCCUACGCACUUGCUGAUGAAGUCAAUCAUGGCAGUAGCGUACUCAUUCAGGUUAGCUGCGGAAUCCCUCAAUAUGGGCUAGUCCACUGAAUCAAAGCAGUCACGCAAGUUGUCAUCCGUGUCUGUUGACAAACAUUUCACAACUCCCUGUACCGGAUCCUCCUUCUUCAAUAUUUAUUUGUAGGGAUGGAACAGAAGCACAACUAGGUGAUCAGAUUUCUAGGUAGAAGGACAGAGCGGUAGGCAUUUCUUUAUUGAUGUAUAACAGUGGUCGAGGGUGUUCUGACCGCUGGUGGGACAUGCUGGUAGUACUUUGGUAGUAGGCCCCUGAGGUUGGCUUGAUUGAAGUCUCCAGCUACAACGACCAGGGCUUCGGGGUGUUUUGUCUCGGCGCUAUUGAUAAUGGAGUACAGUUCGUUCAGAGCAUGCUUGACGCCUGUGUGGGGGGGGAUACUAACUACUGUCGGGAUAGCUGUGGUGAAUUCCCUCGGCAGGUAGUAGGGACGGCCAUUCACAGCUGGAUAUUUAAGGUCGUGGGAACAUUAACUCGCCAGUACUGCCACGUCUUAACACCACGAAGUAUAGAUUAGAAAGCAGACAGCGCCGCCUCUAAGAUGCUGUACAGUCCAUCUGGUGAAGGGAGGUGCCCUCGGGCUGAAUGGCACAGUCAGGUAUGUCUCUGUAAAAAAGAGCACACAGCAGUCUCUCAUUUAUUUGAGGAAUUUGCAUGCACCAUGGAGUCAGAACAUAUUCCAUUCGCUCAAGGCAUGAUAUUUACGACAAAAUUUAAGAAAAAUCUGGAAGCACCAAAUCCUGGUAAAAAUCUAUCACUGCCUAAUCUGCAAGCGCCAAGGUCUGCCUUGUAUUGCAUAUUUUCUUCAGAUGAUGAAGGCGCAAAUGCUAAUGACCUUCUCGUGACAAUUGUCAAAUGACUUGCUCAACAAAUAUAGGCACGUACAGCAGAUUCCAAAUCAGAAGCAAAUUAUGAUCUACAGUGCACAGUAAUUUGGAAAAUAUUGAAGAAUUUUGUUGCUGAAAUGUUCAACUUGGGUAGAUAUCCUAAAUUAUACAUUUCAAUUCAUGGGAAGUGAAGACUUACAAGAAGAAGCUAUUGAAACAAAUUUGAAAUGUAACAAUUGACAUUAAUUUUACUGUACAUUCAAUCAAACAUUUCCUCAAAGGAUUUACUUUGUGCAUUGACAUGAUUUCCUUAUUUGUUGUAAAUGAAAGUCAUCAUUCCCUCAAUAAAUGGUCCUUUUAGAACAUUACAAGCCUCCCAAUGUUUUGGGAGCAAACAUUAUUUGCUGAUUCUGGCCAUCAAGCUCUGGAAUAGGAUACUUGUAAGUCCUACACUUUGAUCUGUAGGACUUGAUACUGUCUUUGAUCUGUAGGAUAUCCUCCCACCUGGCACCAACUCUGUACAUACAUACCCAAUACAACCAAAGAGUUAGAGACUUUGCGUGAGCAGCUGGCAGAGCUGAAAGAGAAGUAUAUUACCCUCCGCCUUGCAAGUGAUGAAAUGGAAGCCAAGCACAAAUGUGAUAAUGAGGCAAAUAAACAGUAUAUUACCCAGCUUCAAACAGCUCAUAAGAAAGUAUACAUACCUUCUGAGGAUCAGCCACUGGCAACUUGACUUUGAACCUUUAAGGCCUUGAUCACUGAAGUUCCCAAACCACUUCCCCUCCUCCACUGCCCAGCCUGACCAUGCCUCUUCAACCGGCUCCUGUAAUUACCCAACCUCCACCAAUUAUCUCAGGACCUGAUCCACAGCCACUUGCCCUUUCUGCAAAUCUCCACCCAUUUUUUCCAUCCAAUCAAUCAGGGAGAUCACCAACUCCAUCCCAGCUACUAUCUGUACUUCUCCACACAUAACAAUCCUUAACCUAUGGCUAUCUCUUAUCUAAGUCUCAGUCCUUGACUGCACGUUAUCCCCGAUAGACUAUUGUAAACUACUCUUAACAAAGUGGUGUUUAGUACGCUGCUACAAUUACGACAAUUUAAACACAGUAGAAUAAACUGACUUUAACUAAACCUAAUAUGAGAACUAACCAGAAUACUAGGUUUGUUCUAUGAAUGAUGAAUAUCAUUCAGAUGAAACAAGUACUGGCAAAUAAAUGUUGCUAAUGACCACAACAUACUUCAUUCUGAGCAAAAAGAUGGGCUUGGGUUUAACUGGAUUUUGCUCAAAGUGUAUUACCUCAUUAAACACAACUUUACUCUCCCUCAAUGCUGCUUGAGGUGGAUUGAUAAGUGUCGUGAGGGCAAAAGAGCUAGAAAAGGUUUUCUGGACAACGUGCCAAACAUGUAACCCCUCAACUCAUGAGAUUUAAGGAAUGGGAAAUAGAGGAAGGACAAAUAUCAACUAUAGAAAGAGAAAUGAAAAGAGGAGAAAAAAGGCCAGAUUAGGAAAUUAAAAUGUCAAAAUGAAAAAUAUGAAAUAUACAUUUAAAUAUUUUAAAAUUCUAUUAGAACAAUUAUCAAUUUUGUAGGAAUUAAUUUGAUUUACUAUUCAGAUGAGAGAAGAUUUUUGUCAUCAAGAAUUUUCAUGUUGUUAAAAGAAUACUAACACUAUUGAUUAUUAAACUGUGGCGAGUUGAAAGGGCAAUUAAUAUUGAAAUGCAGUAACUUCAAGAAAUCAUGAGGUAAUUAGCUGCAAAAUUUCAUUUCUGCAUGGCUAAAGUUACUGUGAGUUGAGAUAACUUGGCAAAUCAUGGAAUAUCUCAUUGCCAUAAAUGUGAUUGAUUAUUUGAGAGAAACAACACGCAAACAGGCCUUUUGGCCCACCUAGUUCAUGCUAGUUCUAUGUUAUCUUCAUCCACACCCUACACACUAGGGUUGAUUUAGAGAGUUUAAAUUUACAGAAGCCAAUUAACCGACAAACCAGUAUGUCUGUGGGAUGUAGGACGAAACUGGAGUUACUAGAGGAAGCCCAUACAGUCUCAGGGAGAACUUGCAAACACCACACAGACAGGAUCUCUGGCGCUGUGAAGCAGCUGCUAUACCGGCUGCACUACUGUGCCACCUCUUAAUCAAUUCAUGCAUUAAUUUAUUGGUUGUUCAAUUUAUAGUUUAAUCAUGCCAUUCAUUUAUUUACAAAAUAUUCUUACUCAAGUGUAAUCCAAAAAUAUUGCAAAAUUAUUAUCUGAUCAUUAACAGUGACACAGCAUGUCUUUGUAAACUGAGGAUUUGAAGUGUUAAAAAUGAA